rnacentral:rRNA from 1 species
CAGGCCUAACACAUGCAAGUCGGACGGGAUCCGUCGGAGAGCUUGCUCGAAGACGGUGAGAGUGGCGCACGGGUGCGUAACGCGUGAGCAACCUACCUCUAUCAGGGGGAUAGCCUCUCGAAAGAGAGAUUAACACCGCAUAAUAUCAACAGUUCGCAUGUUCGGUUGAUUAAAUAUUUAUAGGAUAGAGAUGGGCUCGCGUGACAUUAGCUAGUUGGUAGGGUAACGGCUUACCAAGGCGACGAUGUCUAGGGGCUCUGAGAGGAGAAUCCCCCACACUGGUACUGAGACACGGACCAGACUCCUACGGGAGGCAGCAGUAAGGAAUAUUGGUCAAUGGGCGGAAGCCUGAACCAGCCAUGCCGCGUGCAGGAUGACUGCCCUAUGGGUUGUAAACUGCUUUUGUCCAGGAAUAAACCUAUCUACGUGUAGAUAGCUGAAUGUACUGGAAGAAUAAGGAUCGUGCUAACUCCGUGCCAGCAGCCGCGGUAAU